UGAAAUGCUGUGAAGAGGAAGAGUAAAGCAACUUGAACCAUAAGAGAGGAAGCGCCAUGGGCUGUAAGCGCUUCUUGGGAAGAGUGUUUGAAAACCACCUCGGAGCAGAGAGCUGAAUUCAGUAAGCUUAUCCGUUGAUUACGUUACAAUCAUAGAGUUAAAAAUAGGGUGGAACCGCGACUAACUCUCGCCCCUUUG
rnacentral:ncRNA from 1 species